UUUCAGGUAAUCUUUCUUUAAUGCUAUUGGCUAAUGUUGAUGCAUUUCUUUACUUCUGUUGUCAUUUGCAAGGACUUGCUUAAUGAGUGCAUCAUGUAGACAUUGAGUGUAUGUAUAAUGUCACAGGCCGUAUCUCAAAGUUUUUAAUAGAAUUCGCAUAAUACUCAGCAAGUUUGAAGGCAUAUGACCAAUUUAUUGAUAUCCUCUUAAACUAGGAAAAUGGUACAAAUAUACCUGAAAUUCGGAAACAAUAUGAAUGAUCAGUUGUUUGAUUCCAGCAAGUUUGAAGGCAUAUGAUCAAUUUAUUGAUAUCCUCUUAAACUAGGAAAAUGGUACAAAUAUACCUGAAAUUCGGAAACAAUAUGAAUGAUCAGUUGUUUGAUUCCAGCAAGUUUGAAGGCAUAUGAU
rnacentral:misc_RNA from 1 species